UACGGGGGGGGCUAGCGUUGUUCGGAAUUACUGGGCGUAAAGGGCGCGUAGGCGGUCUGCUAAGUUGGAUGUGAAAACUCUGGGCUUAACCCAGAGCCUGCAUUCAAUACUGACAGGCUAGAGUUCUGGAGGGGAUAGCGGAAUUCCUGGUGUAGCGGUGAAAUGCGUAGAUAUCAGGAGGAACACCGAUGGCGAAGGCAGCCCCCUGGGCUAGCACUGACGCUCAGGCACGAAAGCGUGGGGAGCAAACAGG
rnacentral:rRNA from 1 species